CAAUUAUACCUCAAUUAAAAAAAAAAGAUUUAGUGUUCUGGGCAAAAUAGAAGACUUAGAUUAAUCAGUCAUUUGCACCCUAGUAUGAAUGAGCUUAUAAGAUCAUUUCCCAAGCCAGGGUUUUGGAGGAGAGGUGAAGAGAGUAUCUGCAAGUCAAGCACAGUGGCCCUGAGAGGGAGCGAAGGCUCGGAAAGAGGACUCCAGGCAGCACGUUCCUUACCGUGGGAUUGUGUCCGGAGCCAGAACGGCCAGGCCACAUUGGCCACUUCCGGCCAGAGAACUGGUUUAUCCUGUCUCUGAGGUCAUCAAAACCCCUUCCUUCAACACUAUGUGCCAGAACGAAAGAAAGCACAGGAACAAAAAUGGACCAUUCAGUAUUGUUUUAUUGCAUAUACAGUAGUAAAAUGCACAAAAUUUUUGCUUUUUAGCUGAUUUUAUCUGCUAUCACUACUUUGACAGUAAUCAGCUAAGUUUCCCUACACAACACACUCCUGUUUGACGUCACCUCCUAAAUGUCCCAAUUGCUCCUCCAAGUUAACAUGUCUCAGAUGAACGGGCCCUCUUCCAAGUGCAGCUUCUGCACCUGCUGCUGGGUAACAAACCACGCCAAAACCGCAGGGUUUAAAAUCGCAGCGAUUUACAGCCUAGUCCGUGACUCAGCAGGUCAGCGACUGGGGCAAGGCUCGGCUGAGUGGUUCUCCGGGUCGGAGCCAGGGACUCCUCUCCACAUUUGCAGCCAGCUGUUUGGUUGGCAGGCGCUGGCUGUGAUGAGGUUUACGAUGGCCUCCAUUGGGAUGCCCACACCUCCUUCCACCUGCUCUCUCAUCCUCCAGUCAGCUGGCGCAGAUUGGUUGCAGGAGUUCAUGAGGGAAAUGCUGUUCCCUCUGCCUGGAAUUAUCUUCCCUUACUUCUUUACCCAGUCAAUGCCUCUGCACCCUUCAGACGCCACUCAGGAAUCACUGCUCAGAGAAACCUUCCUUCAGUCCCCAGACAGGUCCUCUCCCUGAACCACCUCUCUCAGCGCCAUACCCACUCAGCUACAGCGCUUGUCAGAGUUGCCAUUUUCAGCUGAGGGCAGCAACCAAAUCUGGGUCUGGCUUUGCUCACCACUUACACUAUGUCUGCAAUAGGCACGAAACACUUUCUAACGGAUUACAUGGACGAACAAAUUAUUGCAUUAGAAAAUAAAAGAAACAUUUGAAGUUAUAAACAACCCACUGAUCCAGCUUAUUUAUGAAUCACAUUGGUUUCCAGAGAAUAUUUAAAUCACAUUUUAUUAAAAUUGGAAAGCAACAAGCGAUCAUUCAGUCUCAAGGAGGAAACAAUCAGGGAACAUUCAGCGACUCGUCCAAGAUCUCUCAGUCUUUCUUGAAAUCCAAGUGAAAUGCAGACAGGACUAGAGGUUUUCUGGACUACAGGUUUUUAUUUCUAGGCCACAAGACUUGCACUGAGAAGCCUUAAAAUCCCUUCCAAGCUCAGACAUUCUUUGGUUACGAUUUAACUUUAGCCUUGAUAGCACUCUAUUUGUUUUUCUCUUUCUUUCCCCCUUCCCUCUCUUUCUUGCCUUCUUGCAUCAUUAGCUAUGAAAGCAGAGAACUGCUGAUCAAGACAGUACGUCACGAAGCACAUUAGAAAAAUAUAAAAAUGCAAGGUCUGUAUGAAGAAAGGGAUGGGCAGGAGAGACAUAUUAAAGACGCUUUCGUGUUCGGGAAAUUUCAGGUCCUAACUGUAUCUUGAAUUUUUCCAUCCCCCAUUACAACAAUGGAUACAAUGCAUAAUGAGAGAUCAAACAAACUGAUUUGUCGACUCUAGGAUAUGAUAUCAUGACCACUCAUUCUGGGGUUGCUAACACCAACCAGGGACCUUCUAGGAUUAUGUAUAGCUGAAAUGUGAAGAGAAAAUUCAAUAUGAAAAGGUCAAACAUCACUCAAUGCACCAAUGAAACAAGAUUUUUUUCUUUUACAAUAAAAUCUCAAAAAUUAAAAAAAAAACAACAUUGUGUCUUCUGAUACAUAUUCAGUGCUUAUGGCUCAAAUGAUAAUGACUACUUCAAUUAUAUGGAGGAUAAUAUUUGCUGAGUUGUUGAGUAUCUGAAGUCAGAGACAUUCUGUUAAAGGUCAGCUGUAAAACCAAGUUAAUAACUCUUGAAGAAAAAUGCCUUUUUCCCUCAGGAAUUCACAAUAAAAAUAAUCUCCUUUUCUACACAAUUUUUCUUUUAACUAUGGUUGGCAAAAAGACAAAGCUAUCAGAUGAAUUAUACAUGAUUACAGGACUAUUUGGUUAUUCAAUGUCACAGAUCAAAAGGAACAGCUCUUGUUGCAAGCAGGCAAUGGCCCCAGACCAGGUUCACUCCCAUAUGCUUCCUUAGAGAGUUUUGAUGGGGCUUUAAGAAUGACACGCAGAAACGGCCGCAUUUUUAAUAAGUGUGAAAGUCACUGUGCGGUGGCUGAACGCCGCCUCCCGUGAGCAGAAGGGAGGGGAACACAACCAGCUGCACCGUGCACGCGGCUGAGGGGUGUGCCUGCUGUCACCCAGAGCUGUUCCAAAUCCCUCACUCGCUUCGAGCUAGACUUAAAUAUUGAGAUUGGAUAACAGCCAAGUAAUGACAAGACGGACGUGUUCCUUCAAGCAAAGCUUCGAUGUGCUAAUGCCAACACCAUAUUGUUCACUCUUUGUAUUAGUUUAGGUUCUUUAAAACAAGAAUGUUAUUGAGCACUGUAAUAUUUUCUCUGUUUUUCUAGUCCCUCGACAAUUACUUAGGGCUUCUACAGAAAACAUAUCUCUCAGUAGCAUUUAGUCCUGGAAUACAGACCACUGAGCUUCCCCACUAACUCAUUCUAAUCAGUCUGCUAUGCAUUUUCCCCCUGUCAAAUAUAACAUCAGAAAGAGGUCCAUUAGCAUCUAUAUAUGGACCAAGAGGUCACCAUAGCAUCAUCGGGUCCAUGAAACAAGAGAAAGAAGAAACAGGCGUUGAGCACCCAUCCCUCACCAGGCCCUGUGCCCCCUACUUUCUGUUUACACAGUCGCAUUUAUUCUUCACAGUAGUCCAGGAACAUAUGGGUUGUUGCACCAUUUUUCAGAUGAUGAAACUAAGUCUUAGAAAAAUUAAGAAACUUGACCAAGGUCACCCAGCUAGCAGGAGCUGGAAGCCAGUUUCAAUCCCAGAGCAGGUCCCAAAGGCUGUGACAGUUCCUUUAUGUCACACUGAAUCAGACGGCGCCUCAGCAUCUGGCCCUCAGAUUGCCAAUAGGUCUGUAAGGCCAUCAACCCUCAGUAGGGACCUGGGACAAAAAGAACACGAUUAGGAUGACCCAAUAAAUAUUGCCCCAGCCCCCCGCUGGCUCUGAGAGGAAGAAUUCCUUGAGUCACUUCCACAGAGAAAGUGCUAUGGGAACCUAACUCUACUAAUGUCACCGACAUGUGAAAUGGCUGAGCCAGGAGUGAAAGUGUGUUCUUACAAAUAAACAAACGCAAUGCAUCAAAGCCUGCCACAGGGAGGUGGUGGGGUGAAAGAGGUAGGGAAUUAGAUGACCUCAGUUUUGAUCCUACGUGUGCUUCCACUGCCCUCUGAGCCUUCGUUAUCUCAUUUGUAAAAUGGGCUCACAUGAUGAAAUAUUCUGCGAAUUACCUAAGAUCCUACAUGCAGAGCUCCCAGCGCCAUCUGUGACACAGCGCAGGUGUGUAGGACAGGUUUGCUGGAUCCAAGUCCAAAAAGACAUUUUACUGUGAAUUAAUCGAACUCAGUGCACGAUCCCUAUUUUCCCAAUGUAUUUUUGCAAGCCUUUCUGGUGUUUAUCAGGAGACAUUUGUCAUUGUCUCAGCAUUACCUGCACCAAAUCCAGGUCACGUGAAGUUAUAAAUGUAUCUUGUAUUCUAAUGUCACAACCCUUGGCUGGCUCUAAGGCAAGAAGGAAAAAAACAUAUAUAUAUUCGUGAAAGAACACAUCAACCUAAACAAAGCCAAACAGUCACAAGCCAGAAUGCAGUGAACGAAACAGACUUCUUUGUUCUGCAAGAAUAAGAUUCUGAGCAUGAGGAAUGCCCAGAGGUUGCUAAGGAGAAACAGAAUGGGCACGUGGGGUCACCUAUGGGAAGACAGCAGCAUGAUUUAUGAUGUAGCUGUAUGAGAGUACAGACUCACUGUGUGAUGUAGGACAGACGAAGGAAGGGAGGCAAGGUCUCCCCCCACCCCUCUCUGCAGCCAGAGAACAGAUGAAGAUAAACGGACCCAGACAUAUAAGGAAAGAAAUCUGAUUAAAACUCUUCGAGAUGAGAACAACAGGCCUGCCCCUAACUGGAUGAUAGAAGUCUUGCACUGUGGAGACCAAAGAAUGGAGCCAACACACAAGGAAUAAAAAAUUAUCCAUGAAAA